UUCUCCAGGAAUGAAACGAGAGCCUGUGCAGCAGGAAACAAUUCCCAAAGGAAUCAUUGAUUCUGUGCCCGACACUGCUGCAGGAAGGGAGGCCAUGCCAGGCACAGUAACACAAGAUAAGGUUCCUGGCAAGGUUUCACCAUUAGCUUGGCUGCAUAAUGUUGUGAAGCACACUGGGCCUCCUGCAGUUACAGGUGUGUCUGCAGAGAGCAUUGUCCCAGCUCCUGAGCUGGUUACUGCACCCAAGCCCAGCUCUCAACACAGCAGUCCUCCAAGAGAGAAGACCCAAGAUACAGCAGAAGAGAUAUCCCUGAAACGAUCUGAACUUACACGGCAAAUGCUGAAGGAAAUGCAGGGGGGAGC